GCACAGACAGAUGGGGACAGACAGACACAGAGGGGGACAGACAGACACAGAUGGGGACAGACAGACGGACAUGGAUGGGGACAGACGGACAUGGAUGGGGACAGACAGACAGACACAGAUGGGGACAGACAGACGGACACAGAUGGGGACAGACAGACACAGAUGGGGACAGACAGACAGACACGAAUGGGGACAGACAGACAGACACAGAUGGGGACAGACAGACAGACACAGAGGGGGACAGACAGACAGAUGGGGACAGACAGACAGACGGACACGGAUGGGGACAGACAGACGGACAUGGAUGGGGACAGACGGACAGACGGGGCCGGAUGGGGAUAAGGACAGACAGACGGACGUGGAGGGGGACAGACGGACAUAUGGGGACAGAUGGGGAUCAGGACAGACAGACGGACACAGAUGGGGACAGCCGGCCAGGGGCAGGGAGGACAGAGGGACAGAUGGGGACAGAGGGACGGGGACGGACAGAGGGACAGAUGGGGACAGACGGACGGGGAUGGGGACGGCCUGCGGUGAUGGAUGGGGACAGACGGACGG
ensembl:lncRNA